rnacentral:lncRNA from 1 species
CAGUUUAUUGUGGUCUCAGACUGCAGUGGUAACUCUCUAUUUGAAAUGGCCAUCAUGAGAAUCUCUCAAACACCUGAAUUGGCUGGAAUCACUUAUUUCUUCCCAAAGAAUAAUGGUGUCUGGGGUGGCCUUUGCUCUACAGGGGACAGCCCAAGGCUCAGGCAGGAGCUGCAAAGUCCAGAGGCUGAGGCUGAGGGACAGAGUGGACCUCCAGAAUCCAUGCACUGAGCUAAGGAAGGAAGAGAGUGCUUACACCAAGUCUCUCAGCUAUGACACAAGAAGGAGAGGCACUGUUCACAAGCCCACUCUUCUGGGGCUCCCCUUAGGAAUGGAAGCCUUCCUCUUAUGAACCCCAAUGGGAGCCUCCUCUGACCUCUCCGUAUAGUUACUAUUCACCAGAUAUCCAUGUGCUAUGUGGACAAAAGACAAGCAAGGGCAAAUUUCACUUCUGCUUCUUACCAGUUAGUUACAUAGCUCUGAACAAGUCAGAAGAUAACCGAAGAACUGACCAGGGGCUCCAUCAAGACUAACAGGGCUGCUAUAUGCAGGCAUGGGCACAGGUCCGCAGUUACUUUAAUUGUGGGCAUUAUUUAUCCUGUUUGUUCCAAAUUCAGGAGCAAUGCUCCAAAUGACCUCAGGGGCUAUCCUGAAUGCAUCUAGGGAUAAGCAUGUUGGGGGAAUUGGUCAUCCCUGCAGCUCUGCCUGGGCUCAGGCCAGAGCCAAGGUAGUGAGGGUGGGCAUGCAAGUGGGAGUGGGGGCUGCCAUGGGCUAGUAGCUGUGGGAGUGGGGACCUGGCUUCACGUCCCCCCACGUGGGAGGUUGCCUGGAUCUCAGGCAGUCCUGCCUUUCUGGUUAGGGCUUCCCAACUUUUGCGGCUGUCCUCAGGGGAAAGCUAUUUUAGGUAGCAGUCAAAAUAAAACUGAGAUUAACCCAGAA